rnacentral:rRNA from 1 species
CAAUAGCGUAUAUUAAAGUUGUUGCGGUUAAAAAGCUCGUAGUUGGAUUUCUGCCGAGGACGACCGGUCCGCCCUCUGGGUGAGUAUCUGGUUCGGCCUGGGCAUCUUCUUGGAGAACGUAUCUGCACUUGACUGUGUGGUGCGGUAUCCAGGACUUUUACUUUGAGGAAAUUAGAGUGUUUAAAGCAGGCAUUUGCUAUGAAUACAUUAGCAUGGAAUAAUAAGAUAGGACUUUGGUACUAUUUUGUUGGUUGUAUACCAAGGUAAUGAUUAACAGGGACAGUUGGGGGUAUUCGUAUUUAAUUGUCAGAGGUGAAAUUCUUGGAUUUAUGAAAGACGAACUACUGCGAAAGCAUUUACCAAGGAUGUUUUCAUUAAUCAAGAACGAAAGUGAAGGGAUCGAAGACGAUUAGAU